rnacentral:rRNA from 1 species
CAGUCGCCGCGGGAAUACGAAGGGGGCUAGCGUUGUUCGGAAUUACUGGGCGUAAAGCGCACGUAGGCGGAUAUUUAAGUCAGGGGUGAAAUCCCGCAGCUCAACUGCGGAACUGCCUUUGAUACUGGGUAUCUUGAGUAUGGAAGAGGUUAGUGGAAUUGCGAGUGUAGAGGUGAAAUUCGUAGAUAUUCGGAAGAACACCAGUGGCGAAGGCGGCUCACUGGCUCAUACUGGACGCUGAGGUGCGAAAGCGUGGGGAGCAAACAGGAUUAGAUACCCCGGUAGUCCCUGUCUCUUAUAC